GCAUCUGUCUCAUCCAGGAGGGGAGAUUUAAAUAGAAGGGGACUGAAGCUAGAGCAAGCGGGUCUCCAGCGCCCCACCUCACAGCUCAUUCUCUUCCCUUCCCCAGGAGUGCGAGAUCCUGAAGAACUUCUCCUCGCUCCGCGCUGUCAUCUCUGGUCUGCAGAAAACCUCCAUAAGCCACCUGAAGAACACGUGGGCGGAUGUUUCCCGGGAGAGCUCAGAAAAACUUAAGGAGCUCUAUAGCCAUGACAAGUCCUUGAGAAGAGAAUUGAUGACCAAGAUGAGGAAACAGGCUCGGGGAGGCCAGGCCACAGGCCCAAGCUCACACCUAGAGUGCGAGUUGGAGCUGGGUUUGUUCUAGAAUCACAAGACCUUGGAGGAUGGAGUGGCAUUGGUACUAGUUGACUCGAGUCAGAUGUCCAGGGUCGGAGGCCAGUGGUGCUGGAGAGAAAUGGGGUGAGGGGAGUAUGGCCCGCUGACACUGUUCU